GUAGGUGGCAAGCGUUGUCCGGGAAUUAUUGGGGCGUAAAGCGCGCGCAGGCGGUUCUUUAAGUCUGAUGUGAAAGCCCACGGGCUCAACCGUGGAGGGUCAUUGGAAACUGGAGAACUUGAGUACAGAAGAGGAAAGCGGAAUUACACGUGUAGCGGUGAAAUGCGUAGAGAUGUGGAGGAACACCAGUGGCGAAGGCGGCUUUCUGGUCUGUAACUGACGCUGAGGCGCGAAAGCGUGGGGAGCAAACAGGAUUAGAUACCCUGGUAGUCCACGCCGUAAACGAUGAGUGCUAAGUGUUAGGGGGUUUCCGCCCCUUAGUGCUGCAGCUAACGCAUUAAGCACUCCGCCUGGGGAGGUACGGCCGCAAAGGCUG
rnacentral:rRNA from 1 species